UGCCAGCCGCCGCGGUAAUACGGAGGAUGCAAGCGUUAUCCGGAUUCAUUGGGUUUAAAGGGUGCGCAGGUGGGAAUGUAAGUCAGUGGUGAAAUACUGCCGCUUAACGGUAGAGCUGCCAUUGAUACUGCGUUUCUUGAGUAUGGUUGAGGUAGGUGGAAUGUGUUGUGUAGCGGUGAAAUGCAUAGAUAUGACACAGAACGCCGAUUGCGAAGGCAACUUACUAAGCCAUUACUGACGCUGAGGCACGAAAGCGUGGGUAGCGAACAGGAUUAGAUACCCUGGUAGUCCACGCUGUAAACGAUGUUCACUCGCUGUUUGCGAUACACAGUAAGCGGCUGAGCGAAAGCAUUAAGUGAACCACCUGGGGAGUACGAUCGCAAGGUUGAAACUUAAAUGAAUUGACGG
rnacentral:rRNA from 1 species